rnacentral:rRNA from 1 species
AGAUGAGAGUCUGACGGAGCACGCCGCGUGAGUGAUGAAGGCUUUCGGGUCGUAAAACUCUGUUGUUAGGGAAGAACAAGUGCUAGUUGAAUAAGCUGGCACCUUGACGGUACCUAACCAGAAAGCCACGGCUAACUACGUGCCAGCAGCCGCGGAACUUCGUAGGCGGCAAGGGAUAUCAGGAAUUACGGGACGUGCCGUGCGUGUAAAUUAUACUCAACCGGCACGCGAUACGCGCAUCUAUAUUUUUUAUCUGU